rnacentral:rRNA from 1 species
UACGUAGGGCGCAAGCGUUAUCCGGAAUUAUUGGGCGUAAAGAGCUCGUAGGCGGUUUGUCGCGUCUGCCGUGAAAGUCCGGGGCUCAACUCCGGAUCUGCGGUGGGUACGGGCAGACUAGAGUGAUGUAGGGGAGACUGGAAUUCCUGGUGUAGCGGUGAAAUGCGCAGAUAUCAGGAGGAACACCGGUGGCGAAGGCGGGUCUCUGGGCAACAACUGACGCUGAGGAGCGAAAGCGUGGGGAGCGAAUGGG